ACUUCCCCAGUUCCUUCAUCUGUCCUGGAUCCUUUGAAACCCCAGAUGCUGACUACACUGACAAUAUUCCUUUCAAAAUGUGAUGUCCAAAACCAGUCCUUGUGGUGUCUCCAUGGAUUUAACCUGUAUCCAGGGAAAACAGGACAAUUUCUUCUCUAACUGGAUCUUUCAUGUUCGAUUAGUAUGCCUAUGAUCACAUUUCCCUUUGGGCAGCCACACAGCAUGACAUCCUCUACACAACAGCACUGCUGCUUCUUUGGCCUUCAACAUGCUUUACAGAUCCUCAACCCAGUUCUUCACAUAACUCCACAGCUUCCAGUGCUUGGCUUAAUAAAAAUCGCAGCUGACACUCAACAAGAGGCAUCUCUUCUAAGCAUUUUUAUACAUUAAGUUAUUUAAUCCUCACAUCAACUCUUUGAGAGUCUUGGACAAAAGAAGUUCAGUCCAUGGUCAAAAGCCAAAAAGUUCCCAGAGAGUUUAAAAAAAGGAAAAAUAAAAUCCAUAAUGUAUGGGCUACACAAGCGCUUUUAAUGAUG